rnacentral:rRNA from 1 species
AGUGAACGCUGGCGGCGUGCCUAACACAUGCAAGUCGAACGGGCUAGUGCUUCGCACUAGUCUCUUUCUGGGGUUGUUACUCUAAGGCUACCUGCUAAAGUUAUUGCUUUAAAGCAGGGGUUUUAGGAGACUUUCCCCGAAAGGGGCCAGUGCGGAGCACUGGCCAGUGGCGAACGGGUGAGUAACACGUGGGUAAUCUACCCUCGAGUGGGGAAUAAGCUUCCGAAAGGGGGUCUAAUGCCGCAUAACGUUUCAUAACGAUGGUUAUGAAACCAAAGCCCAAAAGGCGCUCGAGGAGGAGCCUGCGUCCUAUCAGCUUGUUGGCAGGGUAAUGGCCUACCAAGGCUAUGACGGGUAGCCGGCCUGAGAGGGUGUCCGGCCACACUGGAACUGAGACACGGUCCAGACUCCUACGGGAGGCAGCAGUGGGGAAUUUUGCGCAAUGGGGGAAACCCUGGACGCAGCGACGCCGCGUGGAGGAUGACGGCCUUCGGUGUAACUCCGUAGUCAGAAGGACGAACGUACCG